CGGCUGUCGGGGUCAAGGAACCGGCCGUAGACCAGGCCCUCGAGCUGCGCGUCGGCGCCCUCGUCGGCCUGCACUGCGAGGUAUUCGGACGCCGCUGCCCUGAUCUUGGCGUGCAGGUCGGCCAUGAGCACCGCGACGUCCUCGAGGGCGCCCUCCACGGCGCUUGAGUCAAACGCCAGCGCCU
rnacentral:misc_RNA from 1 species